CAAAAAAAGAGAAGAGACGGACUCCCCCCAUUUCCUAACAUAGCAGUGGCGCAGCCCUGCCUCUUCUCUUCUUUCUUCGUAUCCAUAAUUCUAGAAUCGUACGUUGUGGUUUCCCAGAGCGCUUUUUCUCCCUCUCUUACAUCAUCUUUUUCCUGGCUUCUGAUUAUCUUUUUUCCUGAAAUUUUUCCUCUGCCCUUUUCGAAUUCCAUAUACAUGUUAUGGCUGUUCUAGAACUACCUGUUCUUUAGCUCUUCUCUUAAUUGAUUCUACUUAUGCAUGUCCAAAUUUCUUGGUUCUCUUCAGGUUGUGUCAAAGAAAGUUCUCUGAGAGGUUGUGACGCUUAAGAGAUAAGAGCGCUCUGCAAUGAGUUUGGUGGCAAACAGCGGCACUAAAAGAAACUCAAUGAGAAUAUAAAUGCUAUGUGAAUAAAAAAAUUCAAAGGUUCUUACAAAUGGCAUAGAGGUGAAACUACAAAGGAAUGUUUUAGGUAAUAAUGAGGAUGAUGAUGACCUUGAAUUUGAAAAUGUCCACUUGAAUGGUUCAGAUAUGGGUCGUUGGCAAGAUGGUGCUGCUGCAGUAUGUGUUUGGUGCCUAUAUUUGCACACCUGUAGAAGUACAAGCAGUUUGUUAACUAUUCCAUCUAGGUGAGGUAUCAAAGUUUCUGGCUUGCCCGGCACACAGAAGAAGCAGAGUUACUAGUUUGGUCAAUCAUUGCUAUUAUUUAUUUGUUUGGUUUCAAUUAGUUUAUGUGUUGAUGCUGUUUUGGUUUAAGUACUUCAAGAGACAUUUAUUAUUUUAUAAGCUUGUUUGGCUGGUUUGAUAGCCAUGUUGUUGCAUUCCAAAUUAAUAUUCCACUAAUUGUAUUACUUUUAAUUGGUAGUAGUUCAUAAUGAGGACUGCUUUGGUUGUUUUAAGCUC